GAUGAACGCUGGCGGCGUGCCUAAUAUAUGCAAGUCGAGCGAACAGACGAGGAGCUUGCUCCUCUGACGUUAGCGGCGGACGGGUGAGUAACACGUGGAUAACCUACCUAUAAGACUGGGAUAACUUCGGGAAACCGGAGCUAAUACCGGAUAACAUUUUGAACCGCAUGGUUCAACAGUGAAAGACGGUCUUGCUGUCACUUAUAGAUGGAUCCGCGCCGCAUUAGCUAGUUGGUAAGGUAACGGCUUACCAAGGCAACGAUGCGUAGCCGACCUGAGAGGGUGAUCGGCCACACUGGAACUGAGACACGGUCCAGCAUCCUACGGGAGGCAGCAGUAGGGAAUCUUCCGCAAUGGGCGAAAGACUGAAGGAGCAACGCCGCGUGAGUGAAGAAGGUCUUCGGAUCGUAAAACUCUGUUAUUAGGGAAGAACAAAUGUGUAAGUAACUAUGCACGUCUUGACGGUACCUAAUCAGAAAGCCACGGCUAACUACGUG
rnacentral:rRNA from 1 species